rnacentral:piRNA from 1 species
UUACUUAGGUGUCUUCUUCCCACCUC